rnacentral:lncRNA from 1 species
GGGAAUACCAGGGGUGGGCACUGUCAAGAGACCCAGCUUUGACUUCAAAUGCCACCCAGAGGGACAACUGCUCACUUUCAGAGCAGGAGCAGGAGGCCAGAGGAGAGUGUGAGUCUAACAUCUGCACAGUGAGAAGUCCAGGAGAAGCAAAAAUGAGAUCCAGGCUGGAGCGGCUGUGCCAGAGUGCUGGUAACAAUAAUAGAGAACCAUCCAUAUCCACAAGAGGCAGAACCUCUUCCAGCAAAAUGGUGCUGCCUCACCCAAAGCUGGUUGAGGCUUUAUUCAAUUCAAAUUCAAGCUGUUAAAUCGAGGCUCUCAGACUCCUGCUGCCUGGCCAGUGGAGAAAUUAACUUUCACAUAUGGCUUUGGGAUUUCUCUCUGUCAUCCUGGUCGACGUGUUCUCUCAUUUUUCUGAAGUCUGGGACCUCAACACAGACAUCUGGGUGAAGGCCUUGACAGCAGCGCUGGUGCAAAAUGAAUUGUCACAUCACACCCAACGUUCUCAACCUUUAGAAUCUGAAAGUAAGAAAAACACCUCAAACAUUGAUUCUGAGUAAUCAGCACAGAUUUCUAAAAGAAACUUUAUGGGAUGCUGAGACAUGAAUAAAAACAACUUUAUUCCUUUGGAAAGGACAACCCACAUGCUAAGAAGAUGACACUACACGUUGUUAUAGCCCGAAAGGCCCUCUUUCCACAGGGGAGCAGUGAAAAGUAGAGGUUGCCCAUGUGGAUUCCCAAGUCAGAUAGAUGUGGAUUCAGAUCCCAGCUCUGCUGCUUGCUACCCAAGAGACCAUGGACUGUGGACUCUUUAGGUCUCAGGGUUUUUGUUUGUUGUCUGUUUUUCACUUCCAAAACCAGAAAAUGAGAAGAUAUUUUCCAUAAGAUGGCGGUGGAGAAGAGAACUUGAUGGACCUUGCUUGGACAAAAUGCCUUCACCGCUAACUCAGUCAGCUAUGGCGAUGGGUCAAGGACCUGGUGGUUUUACAGAGAAGACCCUUGGUCAAAUCUUUGUGAAUGAAGCAACCAUUCUGAUGUUCAAUAACAGGAAUGCACCAGUUUAUACCAAACUAUCUGUACUAUUGAGAACAGCAAAAAUAUCUGACCAAAAACACCAAAGAGUGACAUUUUAAAAGACAUCAAAGAACUCUCAAGGCUUCCAGAGUUGGAAAGAUCAAGAAAGAGAGAAUGCAACUUCAUUAAGACACAAAAAGGAACAGGAUACAGAAGUGGAGGCAGUUCAGCGAAAAAGAUGAGAAGAAGGAGAAUGUCCACAAAUAAAUUUCACUUAUAAAAGUUCAGAUAAAAA